CCUACGGGAGGCAGCAGUGAGGAAUAUUGGUCAAUGGACGAGAGUCUGAACCAGCCAAGUAGCGUGAAGGAUGACUGCCCUAUGGGUUGUAAACUUCUUUUAUAUGGGAAUAAAAUGUUCCACGUGUGGGAUUUUGUAUGUACCAUAUGAAUAAGGAUCGGCUAACUCCGUGCCAGCAGCCUCGGUAAUACGGAGGAUCCGAGCGUUAUCCGGAUUUAUUGGGUUUAAAGGGAGCGUAGGUGGAUUGUUAAGUCAGUUGUGAAAGUUUGCGGCUCAACCGUAAAAUUGCAGUUGAAACUGGCAGUCGUGAGUACAGUAGAGGUGGGCGGAAUUCGUGGUGUAGCGGUGAAAUGCUUAGAUAUCACGAAGAACUCCGAUGGCGAAGGCAGCUCACUGGACUGCAACUGACACUGAGGCUCGAAAGUGUGGGUAUCAAACAGGAUUAGAUACCCUAGUAGUC
rnacentral:rRNA from 1 species